rnacentral:rRNA from 1 species
UACGUAGGGGGCUAGCGUUGUCCGGAAUCAUUGGGCGUAAAGAGCGUGUAGGCGGUCCGGUAAGUCCGCUGUGAAAGUCGGGGGCUCAACCCUCGAAUGCCGGUGGAUACUGUCGGGCUAGAGUGCGGAAGAGGCGAGUGGAAUUCCUGGUGUAGCGGUGAAAUGCGCAGAUAUCAGGAGGAACACCUAUUGCGAAGGCAGCUCGCUGGGACGUAACUGACGCUGAGACGCGGAAGCGUGGGGAGCAAACAGG